UCGUCACAGAAUAGCUUGAGUGAAAAGUUGGUCGAAUUACCUUUUCUGAUCACAAUAACGUGAGGGGUAUGGAGGGCGAUAAGCGUAUACCUUUCGAGGAAUGAACACGAGUGGUGCGAAUUGGGGUCCGGGCGCGGAAGGAUGUGGCUGCGGCCGAUUAGGUAGACGGUGGGGUAACGGCCCACCGUGCCAAUAAUCGGUAUGGGUCAUGAGAGUGAGAACCCAGAGACGGAAUCUGAGACAAGAUUCCGGGCCCUACGGGGCGCAGCAGGCGCGAAACCUUUACACUGCACGACAGUGCGAUAGGGGGAUCCCAAGUGCACAGGCAUAGGGGCUGUGCUUUUUGGUACCCUAAGGCGGUACCAGAAUAAGGGCUGGGCAAGACCGGUGCCAGCCGCCGUGGUAAUACCG
rnacentral:rRNA from 1 species